AUGCAGUGGACCGAGGAAUGUGAGUCUUUGGGGAGACAACCAUCAGCCUGUCCGUGCCCUGGGAUCACACUGAUGGGCCAGCUCAGCAGCACAGGAUCAAAAAUUCUCCUACCUUUGGUGACCCAGUCGAUAAAUAUGUCCUCCGCACUCUGGUUCUCCUUUCCCAUCCUGGGUCUGAUGUUUAUGAACUUCUGUGGAAGCUUAUUCUCAUUGCUGCUGCCUGGGGAGUUUCUAGUUUUCUCUUAUUUGUCUGGAGGACCGUCCUCGCUGUAGAGCCUCCAGUGACUCAAGGUAAGGUACUAGGGUUUAGUUUCCUUUGUAAUAUUUUCUCAAUACUGGGAUCCGAUGUGGGUUUUCAUUCAACUAAGAGUAAACACAAUGACUUCCGACGUCAGACUUCUUAACUCUUGAAAAUUUUACUCCUGGGAUGGUGUCUAAAUGACACUGUAGAGGAAGUUGGCAUCUAUUGAGGUAAGAGACCAGGAGGGUCUGAGGAGUAGGGAGACUAGGAUGAGUUUAAUUUUGCAUAAAGCCUUUUGGAAGCAGGUGAAGAAAAGAGUCUAAUGUUCAGAGUGACUACCUGACGUGACCUGGCUCUUGGUGAAAAGGAAAGAUGCUGAAACACCACUGGAGCCUGUCAGGACUCUCUAGGCUGAGGUGUGGCCAGGUGUGUGUGUCACAGCCGAGGGGAAACCGUGGGCUGUGACUCAGAAGUGAAGGGGGCCAUUCAUGGCAGUGGGGACUUAACGGAAGUGAUUCAGCCUGAGGAUGCUGCUUUCUGUGCAGGCUUCAUAGGCUCUGCUGAUCGAGUAGGGCUGUGUGUGGUGGGCAGGGUGGCUGCCCUGUGCUCAGUAGGCCCUCGAGGGCUGCUGUUGGUGACGGUGGAUGCAGAAGGGCUGGUGCUGAGCGGAGGGAUCUCAGCAUCAGAGCGUCCCCGCUGGGCAAAGAGAAGAUGCGUGUGCGCUGUGCGGUCAGAUGAGGGACUUAGAUGCCCGAGAGAGGAGCCUGGAGCUGAGGGCUGCGUUGUAGAGCAUCACACGUGGAGUCGCCUGUGGCUGGCUGCUUUAUGUGUGCUGUUUUCCUGAAGCAGUGAUGGGAAUAUUCUCAUCCUGGGGGUGGAAAAGCUUGUCAUUUAGGGAUUGUGUGUUAUCCAGGUUCUCCAGUGACUAGGUGGGGAAGCCCACAUGGUACCAAAGUGCUUAAUUCCAGUGACCUUGUCCUCCAGGGCCCCCAGCAUGGUUUUCAUGAAGGACGAUCUGCCAGGCAGCAGGACAACACUGGGGGCCUGUGCAGGCCCAGUCAGGCGACGUGUUGAACUUGCCUUCUGUGGUGCUGUGGAUAGGGCCUGGCUGUGGGGUGAACCUGCAUGGGAUGAGGGUUNNNNNNNNNNNNNNUUUUUAAGCAGGGGCAUGUUUACUUACCUUAAUAAUUGGAGGAGAGAAUGUUAAGGGGACAGGAUGCACAGGAUGCUUGGUUUUUCUUUUUCAUCUCUGGUGAUGUCAGAAGUAUUUGAAUGAAUUUUCUAAGAAUGGUGCUUAUAGCUGGGAGAGAAUUUAGGAGAAGACUUUUUAUUGUGUUUCUGCAUCUUUGAAAAAAAUUGAACUAGGAAUCUGUGAUCUCACAUUUAGAAUGCCACUAAGAUUUGCUUCCUUUAGGCACAGUAGUAAAGUUAAAAAGUUAAUUAUACUCAUAGUGCCAGCCAGAGAUAUGUCUCUGCUGCUGCUAAGUCGGGAUAAUUCUAUUCUACUGGGUUUUCCUGACAAUAUGAGAAAUUUCUUCAUCUCCUUUUAGUUACUUUAAAGCAGA
ensembl:lncRNA